rnacentral:rRNA from 1 species
UACGAAGGGGGCUAGCGUUGUUCGGAAUUAUUGGGCGUAAAGCGUCCGUAGGUGGGUGAGGAAGUCUGCUGUUAAAGAGUGAGGCUUAACCUCAUAAGGGCAGUGGAAACUCUUCGUCUAGAGUGCGACAGGGGCAAGGGGAAUUCCUAGUGUAGCGGUGAAAUGCGUAGAGAUUAGGAAGAACACCGGUGGCGAAAGCGCCUUGCUGGGUCUGCACUGACACUGAGGGACGAAAGCUAGGGGAGCGAAAGGG